rnacentral:rRNA from 1 species
UGGGGAAUAUUGGACAAUGGGCGAAAGCCUGAUCCAGCCAUGCCGCGUGUGUGAAGAAGGUCUUCGGAUUGUAAAGCACUUUAAGUUGGGAGGAAGGGCAGUAAGCGAAUACCUUGCUGUUUUGACGUUACCGACAGAAGAAGCACCGGCUAACUCUGUGCCAGCAGCCGCGGUAAUACAGAGGGUGCAAGCGUUAAUGGGAAUUACUGGGCGUAAAGCGCGCGUAGGUGGUUCGUUAAGUUGAAUGUGAAAGCCCCGGGCUCAACCUGGGAACUGCAUCCAAAACUGGCGAGCUAGAGUAGGGCAGAGGGUGGUGGAAUUUCCUGUGUAGCGGUGAAAUGCGUAGAUAUAGGAAGGAACACCAGUGGCGAAGGCGACCACCUGGGCUCAUACUGACACUGAGGUGCGAAAGCGUGGGGAGCAAACAGG